rnacentral:lncRNA from 1 species
CAUUUCCAUGUGCAGUCAUUUCUUAUAUACUGUCUUAUUUUCUUCUUUGCCUACAGCACAAAAUUUGACAAUUAACUGCUCACCAUCUUGUACAUUACUCCAGUGUGUCUAUUGUACGUAGAUGUGCUCCCUGUUUUGGGCUGAAUUGUGUUCCCCUGCGUGCCCCCUGCCCCAGAUUUAUAUGUUGAAGUCCCAACCCCUAGUUAGUGUGCCUAUAUUUGGAGAUAAGGUCUUUAAAGAGGUAAUUAGGGCUGCAUGAGGUCCUUGGGAUGGGCCCUAAUCCAAUGUGACCAGAGUCCUCAUGGGAAGAUGAGGUUAGCACAGAGACAGGACACAGAGGGAAGAGCAUGUGAAGACGUAGGGAGAAGACGGCCAUCUACAAGCCAAGGACAGAGGCCUCAGAAGAAAGCAACCCUGAUGACACAUUGAUCUUGGACUUCUAGCCUCCAGAACUGUGAGAAAAUAAAUUUCUGGGGGCCAGCCCCAUGGCUGAGUGGUUAAGUUUGUGCGCUCUGCUGCAGCGGCCCAGGGUUUUGCCAGUCCGGAUCCUGGGUGCAGACAUGGCACUGCUCAUCAGGCCAUGCUGAGACAGCAUCCCACAUAGCACAACCAGAGGCACUGACAACUAGAAUACACAACUGUGUACCGGGGGGAUUUGGGGAGAAGAAGAAGAAAAAAUAUUGGCAACAGAUGUUAGCUCAGGUGCCAGUCUUUAACAAAAAAAAAAGACACGACAUUUCUGUUGUUGAAGCCACACAAUCUGUGGUGCUUUGUUAUGGCAGCCCCAGGAAACUAACACACUCCCUUCCUUCAUUUGUGUAGUCAGCAACACAUACACAGUGAUCACCUACUGUGUGCAGGGCUCCUUGGAUGCACACUGAUGCUUGAUUCCCAGGCCUGCCUGCUUCCCUUUCCCACCAACUGCUCUGCUCGCCUGCAGUGGGGCUGUGAGCCAGCUUGUCCCUGUCAGCUAUUUAUAAACAUUCCCAGCCCCCGUUCCCCCUUCUCCUCCGCCUCAGUCCCCUCAAGAAAGCUGUCCCCAAGCUGCGGCCUGACCCCCUGCCCUCCUCCUGCAUGCUCACGCUCUCACUCCCCGGCAGUGGUUCUCAACAGGGCUUCCCCGGAUCCUCUGUGAACAGCAUCCAGGCUCAGCCCUUUCCACCCAGCCCUGCCUUCUCCCCAGCCUGCCCUUCCAAAUGACCUUCUGGACAUGUCCACGGGCCGGUCUUCCAUCGCUUUCGACAUGAACAGCUUCUUCACGUCUCCAGCUCUGGAGAGCAGGUCUAUUCUCCUGGCCACCCUGGCUCAGUUUUGACUUCUCCCUUUCUUCACCAUCAGCCACCAAAUCCUGUUGAUUCAGCCUUCAAUCUGUCUCCCAUGUCUGCCCUUCCACCCCACCUCCGGGCCCCUGCUCGGGCCGGGCCUCUUCUCUCCUGAAGGUCUGUCUUAGGAGAACUCAGAGGGUUUGCUGAGGAAGUACAAGGGGAGAAGGCAGAGUAACGGCUGGAAGAGCGGCAGGCUUCCCCCUGCCCCGAUUAGAGGACAGGAGGGAGAGACAGGCAGAUGGAGGAGGAGGGACGGAGGCCUGUGAGUCUGAGGGCAGAGGGGCCCAUCUCCUGUGUCCCUGGGGAGUGUCCAGACCAAGAGAGGAACGCCCUUGGCCUGGUGCCCCCAGGAUGAUGGGCCCAGGGUGGCAUCACAUAAGAAUCAGAGCCCAAAGGCAGCCCCAAGCUGUGGGGAGCAGGCACCCUCAAGGAUUCAGGAGUCUUGCAGCCACAAUGUAGGUUGUUGACCGAUGACCCUCUGCUCCCCGACGCUGGCCUCAGCUCUGUGCAACGACCUGGGUGGAGGCAUGGAGUGGGAGAGCGCACUGCAAAGAGGGCUGAGGUGAAACCCAUCAGGGUGGAGACUGGGGGCCGAGACUGAGCAAGACUGAGCUCCAUCCCCUCUGAAGCUCAGCGAUGAACUGGACUUGGAAAUUUCCGACAUGCAUGGGCAUGGCAUUUGUUUCCAUUUACUUCUUAGGUGGAAAGUACAAAGACUUCCAAACCAGACGUCAGGCAACCCUGGGCCCGGGUGAGGGCUGGAGAGACCUUCCAGAGCUCCAGCCCUGUCCCCAGCCCACACAGGCACAUGUCCACCCCCUCCAAGGGGAGAGAGAGGAGCAGCGUCUUCACCGGGAUCUGUGCUGUCACUGCAGUCUGGCUGGAGGUGGAGGUGGGGGACAUAGGGAGGGCGGCAGUGUGCUGGGUGCGGAGGACCAUGGGAGGCCAGGAGUGCUAAGUCGGGCUCCAAAAGAAUGUUUCCAUGGACUCCCAGGAGAACAAAGUGAAUGAAUGAGGAUAACACAGAGGGACGGGUGCUGCUACCAGGCGGGAUGACUCGACCUGAACAAAUGGCCAAGGCUGACAUCGAACGAAGUCUACACCAUCACCCUCAGGCUCUGCCAUCCUGCCUGUGACCCCCUGAGGGACCCAGCUCCAAAUCCAGUUCCCAGGCGGCUUCACCAGGCCCCAGGUCUCCCUCUUGGCGGGUCCUAGACUUCCCAGCAGGCAGGGCCUUCAUCACGUCCGGGGAAACAUAUAUCCAACAGGCGCCCCCAGCAGACAUCCAAGACCUCACUGCAGCAGGAGCCCAGAAACGGAAGAGGCCCCUGGCUUCACGCUGGGAGGAGCUGGGAGGUCCCCUAGCCUGCUGUGUUUCCAAGAUGCUCCACUGGGGGGCGCAAGCGGCUUCCCUUGCAGGGACAGUCCCAGGAGUUUCCCACUUGACCCCGGUGCUCCUUCCUCCCCAUGACUGAACCCGUUCCCUAAACCUUUGGACCCCAAGAUCUUCCCUUUCUAGGUUAGAAGCUGCCCUCUAACUUGAGGCCUUCCCCUCUCUGACCCACAUUCCCCCUCCUCCUUCUGAUCCCACAUUCUCCAACACUCACAGCUCCCCAGCUUCAGCCAAAAGACCCCCACUCACGAUGAUCGAGGGGGCUCCAGCCUCCGCACUGCUCACUCUGUAGCUGUCCCGUGGCCUGGCGGUGGUGGCAGCGGGGGAAGGGUCUCCUGAAGCUGAGAGGGACAGAGGAAGCAUCUCCAUGGGCUCCCCUGUCCAGCAGGCAGACCGCGGUCGCUGAAGCCCACAGGUGCCGUCCUGGCCCACAGGAGGAGGGGGUGAGGCUGCCUAGUGGAAGCAAGCUGUCAAUCUUUGGUGUCUGUCCGAGUCGCCUAGUUGCUGCUUGCAACCCCAGAGGUUCUGAGCCAGCAGGACUGGGGUGGAGCCCGCGAACGUGCAUUUCUAACAAGUUCCCAGAAAAGAGGCCGUGUGAGGACAGAGAGAGAAGGUGGCCGUCUGCAAGCCAGGAAGAGAGGCCUCACCAGACACCAACCCUGCCGACACCCUGAUCAGGGACUUGCAGCCUCCAGAACUGUAGAAAAUAAUAAAUGUCUCUUGUUGAAGCCACUUGGUCCGUGGUAUUCUCUCACGGCAGCCCAAGCUGAGUAACACACGAGGGUCCCUUGGUUAAAUGUUUGGGAAAGGCAUGUUCAAUACUGAUCCU